GGCAUCCUACGGGACGCAGCAGUAGGGAAUCCUCCACAAUGGGCGAAAGCCUGAUGGAGCAACGCCGCGUGGGUGAAGAAGGUCUUCGGAUCGUAAAACCCUAUUGUUAGAGAAGAAAGUGCGUGAGAGUAACUGUUCACGUUUCGACGGUAUCUAACCAGAAAGCCACGGCUAACUACGUGCCAGCAGCCGCGGUAAUACGUAGGUGGCAAGCGUUAUCCGGAUUUAUUGGGCGUAAAGAGAACGCAGGCG
rnacentral:rRNA from 1 species